GAUGAACGCUAGCGACAGGCUUAACACAUGCAAGUCGAGGGGCAGCGGGGGUAGGCAAUACCCGCCGGCGACCGGCGCACGGGUGAGUAACGCGUAUGCAACUUACCUAUCAGAGGGGGAUAACCCGGCGAAAGUCGGACUAAUACCGCAUGAAGCAGGGAUCCCGCAUGGGAAUAUUUGCUAAGGAUUCAUCGCUGAUAGAUAGGCAUGCGUUCCAUUAGGCAGUUGGCGGGGUAACGGCCCACCAAGCCUUCGAUGGAUAGGGGUUCUGAGAGGAAGGUCCCCCACAUUGGAACUGAGACACGGUCCAAACUCCUACGGGAGGCAGCAGUGAGGAAUAUUGGUCAAUGGACGAGAGUCUGAACCAGCCAAAGUAGCGUGAAGGAUGACUGCCCUAAUGGGUUGUAAACUUCUUUUAAUACGGGAAUAAAGUGAGGCACGUGUGCCUUUUUGUAUGUACCGUAUGAAUAAGGAUCGGCU
rnacentral:rRNA from 1 species